GCCUGGGUGGCUCAGUGGUUGAGCAUCUGCCUUUAGCUCAGAUCAUGGUUCCAGGGUCCUGGGAUCGAGUCCCAUGUCGGGCU
rnacentral:tRNA from 1 species